UACGUAGGGUGCAAGCGUUAUCCGGAAUUAUUGGGCGUAAAGAGCUCGUAGGCGGUUUGUCGCGUCUGCUGUGAAAACUGGAGGCUCAACCUCCAGCCUGCAGUGGGUACGGGCAAACUAGAGUGCGGUAGGGGAGAUUGGAAUUCCUGGUGUAGCGGUGGAAUGCGCAGAUAUCAGGAGGAACACCGAUGGCGAAGGCAGAUCUCUGGGCCGUAACUGGCGCUGAGGAGCGAAAGCAUGGGGAGCGAACAGG
rnacentral:rRNA from 1 species